UAUUUAAACAUACUUAUAUGUAUAUUUUCAUGUGUGUGUAUAUGGCGAAUCCCUGACAGCUCAAGUGAUCUGACCGACUAUUUAGUCGACAUUCUUUUAUGCUUUUUAACUGACGAACGUCGUCAUCAAACAUCAUCAUUAUGAGCAUCUAUCUGCUGCUCUGGCAUUCGUGUUAGAUUUGCGUCGCACGAAUCGUUUGUAGAAUGCACACACACGCCCAUCACACACACACACACACACACACACACGUAAAUACACAUAGAGACUGAGAGAUCUACACGCUGAGUUGAGAUGAGUUAAGUUUCCAGUUUCAACCGAUUGCUACUAAAUAUGAUGUCGUAGUAUUUUCUCUUUAUUCGUCGUACGACCGACCUAACUGCUGCCAGACUGUGUGUGUAUGUCUGAGUGUAUGGCUACGUGUGUGUCUGUGUGUAAGUGUGUGCUAAAAUUGUAAAUUGAUAAAACAAUGAAGAGCUGCAAUGAAUGAAUGAAGCGCAAUUUAAAUGGAAAUCAAUACAUACAACCAGAGCAUAGCAUAUACAGUGAAAGCUAGCUAAAGCCAACAAUCAAGGUGGAAAUCCCGAGCCUAAAGCGCACAUAGAUAUAUACAUUGUUACUAGAACAUUCAUUCAAUUGUUCGUCAAUUGCGCAUUCUACUGUACACUAUAGUGAUACCUAUGUAGUAAAGAAUGCGUUGUUGAAUGACCCAGCCAGCCCCUUGAAAUACGCUCCAGCCCUGAGCUCAUGUGAAUGCCAAGAGAGGUAGGGAGCGGGACGGGGCAGGCGGGGUAGGCUCGGUUCGGCGCAACUCGACUCGGCUCUCAAGUGAACCACAUUGGCGCACGUUCCAUUGACACUCGUCACGGUGGCAUUAGGGGGCAGCACCACCAACCACCGACGUUGCUUUACAGUGGCUCAAGUAACGGCUCUCUAGUUACUCGACGCGCUGUUGAGGUUAUAACCAAACGAAUUGGUUAGAGGCCGGCCUUAUAUUCAUAAAGCUGGCGCCAUCUGGCACUACGGAUCAUAGCACUUUAUGCCAUACUAUAGCAUGACACACACACUCACACACACAGACACUGGCUGCAAAAAGGUCAAACUCUAUAAUCAAAUUGCAUUUUCUCAGCGCAAUUUGAGGCGACGCGUGGACAUGACAUCUUAUCAGCAGCUCAAAAAACAAAAAUUAAUAAAACAACUACAACAACCACAAUAUUGUCAGCCAGACUAAGGCUGAGGCGUUGGGCGCGUCGCAUGGCUGAUCGACCCCGCCCCCUCAUCGGCUGAUGUUGUGUUGAUGUCGACAACAUUUCAAAUAAACCAAAAAAUAAGCAAAAAAAUACCCAUAACAGCAAAAAAUAAACUAAAUUAUGCUAAGCGACUAAGUAGACACCCAUUAAAUGAAAAUAUUUCUCAUAUAGGUAUGGUAUGGGUAUAUUAUAUACUCUAUACAAUUAUAAACUCAAUGUUAAUUAACUGCCUAAGUACACCACUCAAGUUGCCUUUACCUUGAUCUGCAUAUAGUCUAAGAGACACACUGCUUAUAUAAAUCAAGUAUACCCAAUGUAAUGGAAUAGCAAAUAAAACCUAUAUUCAUUGUACUUUCUAUAUUAUUCAAGCGAAAGCAAUAAUACAAGGUACAGCUCAACUAUGGAAAAAAAUUCAAUUAACACAUAAUUUACUCAUAUAAUUCACAACAAAUUCAAGCAUCGACGACUUCGACUCGUUAACCUUAACAAAUAAAGUAAAUAGCUGUAAUAAAAUUCAAUGUGUCAUGGAAAAACUGGAAAAGUUCUCAUUAUGCACAGCUAUAUAACGGUUACGUGCUAAUUCAACUUGUUAAGUAUUUAAAUAAUGUAUUAUUGAAAUGAUCGAGCAAAAACUGACAGUGCAUAAAUAUAUUUAACAUAAACAACUUAUGUGUUUAUCAAAUGCAAAUUAAAUUUAUUAUUUUGUCAUAGAUCUUUGAUAAUUUUCAAAGUAAAUAAGUUGAAAAGUGAGAAAUAAUUUCGUAUUUAGCAUUUAAUUUUCACAUUUUAAAUAUUUACUUUGAGUAUUUAUUAAUGAAAAUGACAAACAAAUAAACAAUAAAGAAAUGUAAAUUGCAGAUUUAUCCAGAAUUUUCUAAUUAUAAUAAGAUAUUAUAAUAUAAUAAUUAUUAUUAUAUAAAUAAGUAUAAAAAACCUUUCCAUGCAUACCAAACACAAAUUUAUCAAGAAUUAUUUGUGGUUUGCUCUUUAAAUAAUUUAAUAAAGUAUAAAUUAAGAUAAAUCGAUUCAAGCUAUGUUUAAUAAUAUCUUAUAUAUAAUAUAAGCUGCCCAAACAUAAGGAUAUGCCUUCUAUGUUUCUAAUUCUAGGGUAUAAAUAGUCUGCGCGUGGCAUACAAUUUGGUUUUUGUCUAUAAUGAGCAUGGGAACCGUAAAAACAGCGGAACGAUUUCUCAUAUGCAAAAUCAUGCAAAAGGCAAUUGUUCGAAGGUGGGCCGUAGGGGGAGGCAGCCAGCUUUGACAGGCAAUGGCACAGUGCGAAAUUGAAAACGCUUUUAUACAUACAUACAUACCAAAUAUACAUAUAAAUUUUGCAAACAAAAUUUGUCAUUACGUUUGUCGUUUUAAUAAGCAAUUGCAUAAAAGCACAACGUUUAUGUAAGCAAACUUGCAUGGCGGCCCCGGACUGAGGCCCCAUGGGAGCAAAACCUUUAGUUCCAAGUGCAUUCUGAGCACUUUUUUGCGAAUGUUAAUCGAGACGGCAAUAAACUGAAAGCGCUUUCAGAGCGAGGACUUGCGAGGCGAGGUGGGGCAUGUGGGAGCAGGUCAAUGUCUGGUGGAUCUUUGAGUAAACAACAGACGUUCAGACAGACUGCCAGACAGUUUGAUGAUAUAAGAGUGACUAUUAGGGCAUGUGUGUGUGUGUGUGCCUGUCUGGGCGUGCGCUGUGAUUCAUUAAUGGAAGUGCGAAGAUAAGAUGCAAAUCAUUAUCAUGAUCAUUAUGAAAGAUAAGGUUGUCUAAUUACAACGAUAAGGUAAUUACAUUACGAAAUACCUGGGAAGAGUAAAUCACAGAAGCACUUUUUUUUUAAGUUAUAAAAUAUUCCAACUAAUAGGAAAAAACUUGUAUAGUGAAAUACCGGGAAGUGUUAGAUAAUAUAUUGCAAGGCUUAUGGGUUAUAAGGAACUGCUGCCAUGAGCUCACCAUAUCUAUAAAGCAAAGCCAGACCAGAUCUUUAAGCACACGCAUUUUUUGAUAUAUAAUAUUUACUAGAUAUUUUCAUACUACAAUAAAGAUAUACUAUAUAAAGAUAUAUAAAAGACUCAUGUUGCUUUUCCAUUCAUAUGAAAUGCGAUCCCAAAGGCAAAUAAAUCAUAAAAGCAAAGAAAGAAAAAACUUCUGUUUCUUGGGCUAUACAAAAUAGCCUCCAGCUGAUACAAAAAAAUAAAACCUAAAUUCAAUAUAAAUAUAAAUAUUUAUAGAGUAAAUUUCAGCAUUUGUCGGCUAUUUACUUUUUGACUCAGAUUUUACUUUUGAUAUUGCUCAUAGAAUUACUUAAGCUACAUUUUUUAUUGCUGUAAAAUUAUUUUUAGAUAUGCGCAGAUGACUUCGAUAAUUGACUUUUCCAAUUUUUCUUUAGCAAGCCAGCGUUGCGAAUGAAUAAGCUAAGCAAAGGUGAAAAGAGCAGUCGACUCAGAAACGCCCUAUAAAUAAAAACUUAUAAAUAAACUAUAUAAUAAAAUAUAUAUAGAGCUAAAGCUGGCCAUAUAUAUAUAUUUAUAAAAAUUUAUUAUUGCAAACAAGCUGCAUAUGACGUCAAGAAGUCGGUAUAACUGUCAGAUUCAUUUUAGAGCUAUUUAUUGUUUUAUACAUCAAAUAUAACUAAUUUAUUUGGAAAUAAAUUAGCUUGAAUUUGCUUAAUUUUCCAACAAAAUUUCAUUCAAGCUUCGAGUUCUUGAAGCUAACCCACCGACACGCAACAAUUUCAUGGGUUUAGCCUAAUUGACGAUUUCGUAAAUUUCCUAAACGAUCCGCACGUGUCGCGCUCUACUAUCAUAAAGAAAAUACUGGACUUUGUAGCGCCACACGCUAACAUAAUUUGCUAAACAAAAUAACAAAACAAAAUCCCCUAGGCAAAUAGAAGAGCAAACGCGAUGAGAGUUACGAAUAACAUAAAGUCACAUGAUAAACGCGUGAAUUUCAUAAAUAAAUCCAGCGACAACAGAAACGUGUGAAUAAGCGAGCCGCACGCUUUGUUUAUAUGGUUAAUCAGAUCGCUGAUAAACCCCAAAGCCAGAGAGACAACAAUUAGCACACGAAUUCUUUACCUUACUUUUUUUUUAUAUUAUGAUCGAAGAGGUGCACAUACUUGAUUGAUGGAUGAUUUGAGGUAGUGCGUGUGGGUAAGUUUUUACCCAUUUCAUGUGUAAACAAGUAAGAAGGCUCCAGUCGAGA